rnacentral:lncRNA from 1 species
UUAUAAAGAUUUUACAGAAUUCACAAAUUCUCUAUACUUCUCCCUACUUCCAGAGAUUCACAUUUUUUUAUCUUUAUCAUCAGAACCAAAGCGUUAACCACUCAUCAUUUGCUCUAUCACACAGACCACUUUCAAUUCACCCUGUUUUCUCUAAAAGGGCUUUGGGUUGACCAAAGUUUGCUUCCUACACCUUCUUCUGUUCUUGGCACUCCCAUAUUUGAUUCAUUUUUACUUCAUGUUUCCCACGUAUUAACCCCCAUACCCCUUUAUGUGUUUUAGGCAUUGUAUUCACAUCCUGCACCCGCGUCGGAGUGCACGCACCCCACCUUCUUUUACUUUUUUUUUGUUUGACUAU